rnacentral:rRNA from 1 species
UAAGCAUAUCAAUAAGCGGAGGAAAAGAAACCAACCGGGAUUGCCUCAGUAACGGCGAGUGAAGCGGCAAGAGCUCAAAUUUGAAAGCUGGCCCCUUCGGGGUCCGCGUUGUAAUUUGCAGAGGAUGCUUCGGGUGCGGCCCCUGUCUAAGUGCCCUGGAACGGGCCGUCAGAGAGGGUGAGAAUCCCGUCUUGGGCAGGGUGCCCGUGCCCGUGUGAAGCUCCUUCGACGAGUCGAGUUGUUUGGGAAUGCAGCUCUAAAUGGGUGGUAAAUUUCAUCUAAAGCUAAAUACCGGCCGGAGACCGAUAGCGCACAAGUAGAGUGAUCGAAAGAUGAAAAGCACUUUGAAAAGAGAGUUAAACAGCGCGUGAAAUUGUUGAAAGGGAAGCGCUUGCGACCAGACUCGGCCCCGGGGUUCAGCCAGCACUCGUGCUGGUGUACUUCCCCGGGGGCGGGCCAGCGUCGGUUUGGGCGGCCGGUCAAAGGCCCCAGGAAUGUAUCGCCCUCCGGGGUUGUCUUAUAGCCUGGGGUGCAAUGCGGCCAGCCCGGACCGAGGAACGCGCUUCGGCACGGACGCUGGCGUAAUGGUCGCAAACGACCCGUCUUGAAACACGGACCAAGGAGUCUAACAUCUACGCGAGUGUUCGGGUGUCAAACCCGUACGCGCAGUGAAAGCGAACGGAGGUGGGAGCCCCCCCGGGGCGCACCAUCGACCGAUCCUGAUGUCUUCGGAUGGAUUUGAGUAAGAGCGUAGCUGUGGGGACCCGAAAGAUGGUGAACUAUGCCUGAAUAGGGCGAAGCCAGAGGAAACUCUGGUGGAGGCUCGCAGCGGUUCUGACGUGCAAAUCGAUCGUCAAAUUUGGGUAUAGGGGCGAAAGACUAAUCGAACCAUCUGGUAGCUGGUUCCUGCCGAAGUU